rnacentral:lncRNA from 1 species
CUGCUCUCUCCACCAUGCAUUAGCUUCUCUCCCAGGUGAGAAACGUAACUGGCUGCCCUCUCCCUGGUGUCCAGUCACCAAGGCCACACAAAUCCAAAGAGACAGGCACUCUCUUGAGGGACUAUCAAUCUCCCCUGGUGUACCCUUCUGUUUCUUUGGGCUCACGCAGCUCCCUCCCUGGGCUUUUAACUGGGCCUGGAAGGGAACCUGUCAAAUGUCCUUAAAUUCUCCAGUUCAAUCAACUCGACUGCGCACAUGCGAGUGCCAUGUGCGAGUACGACCUGCAGAGGGCGCAGGAAGCCUUAAAGAGAGCGUCGUGAAGGUGGGCUCAGUCUCCAGAAUCUGGAGAUGGAGAAGUAGGGUUCCCUGCAGAGAUCCUUUAGACAGAGGACGCUUCGGUGAUCUGUGAACAUACACCCAGCACUUACAGCUUCAGCCCAUGCUCCUCUCUCAAGUUCCUUAGGCCGCACCCCCCCCCCCAAAAAAAAAACUUUCUACCGCAGCCAACCCAACUCCUUUUGCCCAAACCCCAACUCUCCCAAAUCCUCCACGUUCCAUCCUAAGAAUGAGGCUGGCCUGUAGACCACAGCAUGGAGAAGGCUCAAUUAAGACCAAUCAGAGCCGACGGCAGUACCUGCAAAGUUAACUUUCUGGGGUGAGCUCCCCCCUUCUCGCUCCCCCUCCCCCCGCCCCCCGCCGGCCGCGCAAUAUUUUCCCCAAUGUUUUCCUGGCUCUGGUUCAGGUCCUCUUCGUGGACAGCCGGUCCAGGGAUCCGCGCCGGGAUUUACCGUGCACCAAGAGCAGCGUGUUCGGGAGGGGGGGUAGUAGGCAGUAUAGGGUCCCUCAAGGGAGGGGGAGGAUCCUGGGGGUCCUGGGGGUGCCAUAAGCCCGGCACCCCCUCUCUAACUUCUAGCCACCCCGCCUCAUCUUCCUUCUAGAGCGGCCUGGAGGAAGGAUAUUGGAGGGGAGUGAGCGGGAAGAGCGGCGGCGCGCCGGUGGCAGGAGCGAGAAAAAGUUUUUGCAAAAGGAGAAAAAAAAAAAAAAAAAAGUUUGCGCUUCUCGCGGGUGGUCCCGGCUCGCGGCCCGGCGGGCUGGGCCGGCGGAGGGCUGGGGGCCAGGUUGGGGGGGGGGUGGCACUGAAGCUGCGCUGCAGUGGCCCUGUCGCCCCCCUCCCCGCAGCACCCCCCCAGCCCAGUUUCCAACCCUGGACCGCGCAUCCCGAGCACUGCGCCCCGACUGAGCUCCUUUUUCUUCUGGCAGUCUGUCUGUCCCUGGUCUCUUUGUCUGCGCUCUCCCACCUAUUAGACAUAUCUCCCUUUCUUGAAGUUGGCAUGAAGAGGCUGUUGGGACGGCCAGCAGGAGGUCUGCGUGGUAGAGGGAACUCCAGGUCUUCCCUCUUGCCUUGAGUGAGUCACAGCGGAGGAGGCAGGAGACAUGCCCCCUCAUCCAGCUGCCAGCCAGCUGUGCCCCCCACCCCCAACGUGAGUGCCAGGGUCGAGCUGGGAGGUCUUGGAUGCGGGAUCCGGGUCUCAGCUGGAAAAGGAGGAGUUAGCAUAGGUACAGCCCGGCUGCAGCACUUGGGCUGGGUCGUAGGGUCCGGGUUCCGUUCCCCACUUUGCCCCGCCCUCACCCUAAAUCCCAGCAUCCCGGGAUCACCCACCGCGCAGGCCGGCCCGCUCCCGGUGGUUCUCCACCCCAC